rnacentral:rRNA from 1 species
GACGAACGCUGGCGGCGUGCCUAAUACAUGCAAGUUGAGCGCUGAAGGUUGGUACUUGUACCAACUGGAUGAGCAGCGAACGGGUGAGUAACGCGUGGGGAAUCUGCCUUUGAGCGGGGGACAACAUUUGGAAACGAAUGCUAAUACCGCAUAAAAACUUUAAACACAAGUUUUAAGUUUGAAAGAUGCAAUUGCAUCACUCAAAGAUGAUCCCGCGUUGUACUAGCUAGUUGGUGAGGUAAAGGCUCACCAAGGCGAUGAUACAUAGCCGACCUGAGAGGGUGAUCGGCCACAUUGGGACUGAGACACGGCCCAAACUCCUACGGGAGGCAGCAGUAGGGAAUCUUCGGCAAUGGACGAAAGUCUGACCGAGCAACGCCGCGUGAGUGAAGAAGGUUGUCGGAUCGUAAAACUCUGUUGGUAGAGAAGAACGUUGGUGAGAGUGGAAAGCUCAUCAAGUGACGGUAACUACCCAGAAAGGGACGGCUAACUACGUG